UCGGGAAUUUUGGGCAAUGGGCGAAAGCCUGACCCAGCAACGCCGCGUGAAGGAUGAAGUAUUUCGGUAUGUAAACUUCGAAAGAAUAGGAAGAAUAAAUGACGGUACUAUUUAUAAGGUCCGGCUAACUACGUGCCAGCAGCCGCGGUAAUACGUAGGGACCAAGCGUUGUUCGGAUUUACUGGGCGUAAAGGGCGCGUAGGCGGCAAUUCAAGUCAUCUGUGAAAUCUCCGGGCUUAACUCGGAACGGUCAGAUGAUACUGCUUUGCUAGAGUGCAGAAGGGGCAAUCGGAAUUCUUGGUGUAGCGGUGAAAUGCGUAGAUAUCAAGAGGAACACCUGAGGUGAAGACGGGUUGCUGGGCUGACACUGACGCUGAGGCGCGAAAGCGUGGGGAGCGAACAGGAUUAGAUACCCCUGUAGUCCCUGAGCGGGCUGGCAAGGCGCAU
rnacentral:rRNA from 1 species